rnacentral:miRNA from 1 species
UCGAAUCUGUCACUUCGGUAAUU